AGAGAGAGAGAGAGAGAGAGAGAGAGAGAGAGCUGAAAUGUAGUUAUUUUCCUAGUUUAAAGUAGGAGAAAUAAAUUGAAAUGGAACAUGUCAAUGAAUGCUGUAAUUGUCGUAGAGUGGGAGGGAGUAAAUGAGCUGGUUUCAAGGAUUUUCUCUUUCUAAGAAAUAAAUGAAUAGUACUGCCUAAAACAAACAUAUACUCUUUAUUUUUAGUAUUGCAUAAGUAGAUUCAGUAUUCAUAGAAAAUUCGCGGCCUACUUAAUACAAUUUACUUCUUUUACCCGGGUUUAGAACAGGUUAAAAAAAUUAAAAAUCGUCACCCAUUGUCAUACCAAACUAUAAUUUCCGCCCAUAACUAGUAUUGCCUUUAAGUAAAACUUACCUCAAAGGAAAUUUUAAAAAUUCACACCCAUCAUAUAGUAACCUAUAAUUUCCACCCAUAAUACUACACCUUGAAUAAGAAACACAUGUAAGGGACAUUUUAUUCAUUCUGCAGAAGAAGGAAUCCAUCCAGAGGAAGAGUGGGCAAAGGGGUAGUAUAGUCAUUCAUUUAUUUGGUACUCGGCGAAUCGUAUACUAAAAAGCAGCGGGUCAGAGAGAACACUUUCUAGGGAGAGAAAGCAAGGAAGAGAUAAAAAUUUUCUAGAGAGAGAAAGCAAGGAGAAUAAGAAGGGGCAACCAGAGUAAGAAGACCUUGAGCAGAGCGAGAAACCCCCACUAAAAUUAGGGGCACCGAGGAGACGGAGCCGUGAUUGAGA
rnacentral:lncRNA from 1 species